GUCUCUAGUUCCAUAGAAAGAAGGCAAAUGAAGAGGACAGAAGAAGGAGAGAGACCUUCCCACCCCAUCAGCCCUAUGCUGCAGAGAGUUAAGUGAAGACAUAUGAUGUGCUCUGGCCAAUGAAAUGGAUCCCACAUCUACUUCUCUUGCAGAAACCAACUGGUGGAAGUGACCUUCUCAUGGAGUGUCCUUCACAAUCCUGGUGGAAGUCACAGGCCUGCCCAAGCUGGAGGACUGUCCCAUUCCAACAAGUGAAGGAGCUCUGCAGGGCCAUCUUGGAGCCUGGGGAUGUUCCUGGAGAGCACACAGACACACAACCAUGGUUCUACCACUGGAGUGACUUAUUGAGAAGAUAUUAGAAAGAUGCAGCACUUUCUGUUCUGGAAUGCAAAGAACACCAUCAUGCAAGCCUGGGCCUCAGAUCUGGACUUGGAUCCUCCUGCCUGGCUGUAUGAGGCUGACCAUGUCCCUUCUCUGUGUGGCCCCUGUCCCAUCCUCUAUCAAAGGAGGGAUUUCUAUUAGAUUGCUAAGGCCCCAGAGAUUCAGACAACAGGAAGGAGAAGGCUGGUCUGGCUUAGCCUCCCUGACCAAAUGGAGGGCUUUGCCUGGGGACCACCUCACAAGGCCUGGCUGGUGCCUCCUGCUACUCAGUUCUUGGCUGAUGUCAGAUGGGGAGACUCUGGCCCCUGUGGAGAUGAGCAGAACUUGCUCAGUGCUGCCAACUCCAUUCAGGAUGAUGGCUGCCCACUCAUACCUGCAAUGGGUCAUGGACUGGGAAGCUGAUGAAACUGCAACUGGCAUGGGCUGCUGGGAGCCACCAUACAUGGAGGAGAGUGAUGGCUGAUUCACAGGUUUCUGGGAUUAGAACUAUCCUGAUACAUAACUCCAGAGCAUUCUAUGUGAGGUCUAUCGGGACUGGUUGAAGGGAUAAGAUGGAAGCCACAAAGAAAAUCUUGUGAAUGUGAAGGAAUUGGGCCAUUGGACCAGUCCUCUGCUCAGAGUUCCUGCAUCCUGGGGGCCACUUCUGAACCAGACCAUGCCCACUCCAGCCACCACAGAUCGAGCCACGGGCAACCAAUUACUAGACUGGCCACACCUGUGACUUGUGUGGUUCCGCCUUAAGAGAUAGACUGGAGCAAUCAGAUUCUCAGUUUGAGAAAUCUGAUCAAACACAUGGAAAGACUUGCUGAUUUAUGGUGAUGAUUGCAGCUGCAAAGUCUUGAGCUGCCCCGUCAUAAGGAGUAGGAGAUGAUGACCAUCUUGGAGGAGGGAGAUGCUGUAUCCUGGAGAGGCCACUGGGGUAGGAAUCGGCCAUCUGUGCUCCGCU